GACGAACGCUGGCGGCGUGCUUAACACAUGCAAGUCGAACGAUGAAGCCUAGCUUGCUAGGUGGAUUAGUGGCGAACGGGUGAGUAAUACGUGAGUAACCUACCUUUAACUCUGGGAUAGGCCCGGAAAACUGGUUCUAUUACCGGAUACAACAAUUCUCCGCAUUGGGUGUUGGUGGAAAGGGUUAUGUAGUUGUUAUAGAUGGGCUCACGGCCUAUCAGCUUGUUGGUGAGGUAACGGCUCACCAAGGCGACGACGGGUAGCCGGCCUGAGAGGGUGAGCGGCACCACUGGGACUGAGACUAGGCCCAGACUACUGCGGGAGGCAGAAGUGGGGUAGAUUGUACGAUGGGAGGAAGGCUGACGCAGCGAAGCGGCGUGAGGUAUGACGGGAUUCGGGUUGUGAAGCUAUGUUAGCAGGGAAGAAGAGAGAAUGACGGUACCGGGAGAGAAAGCGCCGGCUAACUCCGUG
rnacentral:rRNA from 1 species